ACCACGCAGGGGCCGCGCUAUGCAGACUGGGAAGAGCAGACAGGAAGCUCCUCCCCCUCUCUCACUCCCCUGUAUGCUGCUGCUGGACCUUGUGGAGCAGGCCCGCUGUGUGUAUACAGGCCCGGACACCACCAGUAUGGAAGACUUACCUGCCCAGUGCCCACUGCUGAUGCUGCCCUUUUAAAGUUGUGAAUGCAAAACACACUGAAGAGACUGCAGCCGGCGCGCACCUCCUUGUACAGCUUACGGUGACAUCAUCACAAGCAUGUGUGACAUCACAGGGUUCUAAACCAUCUUCAGGAAAUUGAACUACCCAAGAUGAAUAUCUAUCCAAUGUAUUGAUGAAAAUGAAGUAUAAAGUAAAGGGAAAAAUAAAAAGAAAGAAAAUAUAGAACAAAGAGAUUGAUCUAAAAAGAAGAUGAUGAUAACAAAUAAGUAGCAGCAUAGUAAAAAAAGGAAUCCAAAGAAAAAGGAGCAAGGAAUUUGUGGUGUAGAAGAAAAAGAGAAGAUUGCUUUGAAGUAGUUGAGCUGAGUCUCACAUCCUUGAUUCUUCUCCUGAGGCUUUCGAGGAAACAAAUGAAUAAAUCAUGAAUUGCUGAAAUAAUUUCAGGAAGUUGUUACCCCAAGGACUCCCUGUAAUCAGAACGCUUUACUUCCUCAAGGCAGUAACCACAUAUAGCAGCACUAUGUGACGCACAGGAUUGGACCUUUGGGAAUCCACCAUCACCUAAAUUUAUGGUUGACAGAGAGAAGAAGAUUUAAGAUUCCACAGAAAGAUGGGGAUGUUGCUGAAGCAUGGCUUGGAUAUGGACAAAAGACAAAUCUAAUCCCAUAGUCUUAAUCCUAAUUAUUUGCUUUGCCUGAUUGCAGAAGAAUUAUUUUGUGUACCGUAUUUUUCGCCGUAUAAGACGCACUUUUUCUUCCCCAAAACUGGGGGGGAAAAGUCGGUGAGUCUUAUACGGGGAAUACACCCCUAUCGUGGCAGUCCCUGUGGCCAUCAAUGGCCGGGACCCGCGGCUAAUACAGGACAUCACCGAUCGUGGUGAUGCCCUGUAUUAACCCUUCAGAUGCAGCGAGCAAAGCUGACCGCCGCGUCUGAAGGGAAAGUGACACUAACCCGGCUGUUCAGUCGUGCUGUUCGGGACCACCGCGAUUUCACUGCGACGGUGCCGAACAGCCCUACUGAAUAGCCGGGUUAGUGCUUACAGGACACCGGGAGGGACCUUACCUGCCUCCUCGGUGUCUUCUCCGUAUGGCCGGCGCUCUCCUUCCUCGUCAUCACGUCGUCGCGUACGUGCGUCGGCGUGCAUAACGAUGUGAUAGCGGCGAUGGAGAGUGAGGAUACCCGACCGGCAGCAGAGACGUUCCGGAGCGACGGGGACACGGCGACAGCGAUGGAGCGACAUCCAGGGCAGCGGUGACUGGUCCGGA